AUACGGAGGAUGCGAGCGUUAUCCGGAUUUAUUGGGUUUAAAGGGUGCGUAGGCUGUGCGUUAAGUCAGGGGUGAAAUGCCGUCGCUCAACGACGGAGCUGCCCUUGAUACUGGCGUGCUGGAGUACGGAUGCCGUUGGAGGAAUGAGUGGUGUAGCGGUGAAAUGCUUAGCUAUCACUCAGAACACCGAUUGCGAAGGCAUCUGACGAAUCCGUCACUGACGCUGAGGCACGAAAGCGUGGGGAUAGAACAGGAUUAGAUACCCUGGUAUUCCACGCCGUAAACGAUGAUGACUAACCGUCGGCGAUAGACAGCCGGUGGCCAAGCGAAAGCGAUAAGUCAUCCACCUGGGGAGUACGUCGGCAACGAUGAAACUCAAAGGAAUUGACGGGG
rnacentral:rRNA from 1 species